rnacentral:rRNA from 1 species
UACGGGGGGAGCAAGCGUUGUUCGGAUUUACUGGGCGUAAAGGGCGCGUAGGCGGUCGUGACAAGUCACUUGUGAAAUCUCCGGGCUUAACUCGGAAAGGUCAAGUGAUACUGUCGGACUAGAGUACAGAAGGGGCAACUGGAAUUCUCGGUGUAGCGGUGAAAUGCGUAGAUAUCGAGAGGAACACCUGCGGCGAAGGCGGGUUGCUGGGCUGACACUGACGCUGAGGCGACGAAAGCCAGGGGAGCGAAACGGG